rnacentral:rRNA from 1 species
UACAGAGGGCGCGAGCGUUGUCCGGAUUUAUUGGGCGUAAAGAGCUCGUAGGCGGUUUGUCGCGUCGUCCGUGAAAACUCACAGCUUAACUGUGAGCUUGCGGUCGAUACGGGCAGACUAGAGUGCGGUAGGGGAGACUGGAAUUCCUGGUGUAGCGGUGGAAUGCGCAGAUAUCAGGAGGAACACCGGUGGCGAAGGCGGGUCUCUGGGCCGUAACUGACGCUGAGGAGCGAAAGCGUGGGGAGCGAACAGG